rnacentral:rRNA from 1 species
UACGAAUGGGGCAAGCGUUGUUCGGAAUCACUGGGCUUAAAGCGUGCGCAGGCGGAUAUGAAAGUCAGGAGUGAAAUCCCGGGGCUCAACCCCGGAAUUGCUUCUGAAACUUCAUAUCUAGAAUUCGGUAGAGGUUGGGAGAAUUCCUAGUGUAGAGGUGAAAUUCGCAGAUAUUAGGAGGAAUACCAGUGGCGUAGGCGCCCAACUGGACCGAUAUUGACGCUCAGGCACGAAAGCGUGGGGAGCAAACAGG